AAUCAACGCUGGCGGCGUGCCUAACACAUGCAAGUCGAACGCGAAAGGGGCUUCGGUCCUGAGUAGAGUGGCGAACGGGUGAGUAACACGUGGGUGAUCUACCUUCGAGUGGGGGAUAACGUUCCGAAAGGAGCGCUAAUACCGCAUGACGUUCUGGGUUUGAAGACCUGGAAACCAAAGCCGGGGACCGCAAGGCCUGGCGCUAGGAGAGGAGCCCGCGCCUGAUUAGCUAGUUGGUGAGGAAUGGCUCACCAAGGCGACGAUCAGUAGCCGGCCUGAGAGGGCGGACGGCCACACUGGGACUGAGACACGGCCCAGACUCCUACGGGAGGCAGCAGUGGGGAAUUGUUCGCAAUGGGCGCAAGCCUGACGACGCAACGCCGCGUGGAGGAUGAAGGUCUUCGGAUUGUAAACUCCUGUUGACCGGGAAGAAUGGGUUCCGAGCUAAUACAUCGGAGCAAUGACGGUACCGGUUGAGGAAGCCACGGCUAACUCUGUGCCAGCAGCC
rnacentral:rRNA from 1 species